rnacentral:rRNA from 1 species
GAUGAACGCUGGCGGCGUGCCUAACACAUGCAAGUCGAACGGAAAGACCAUGAGCUUGCGCCUUUCACGUUAGCGGCAGGCGGGUGAGUCACGCGUGUAUCACCUACUUAUAUUUCGGGGAUAACUACGGAAAACCGGCUCUAAUACCGUAGAAUAUAUUGAACCGCAGUGGUCAAUGGUGAAUGUCGGCUUUUGGGGCUGUAAUAGAUGCUUCCGGGCUGCAUUAGAUAGUUGUUAAGGUCAAAGCCUACCAAGGCUACGAUGCGUAGCCGACGGGAGAGGCUGAUAGGCGACAUGGGAAGUGAGACACGGACCAGACUCCUACGGGAGGCAGCAGUAGGGAAUCGUAGGCAAUGGGCGAAAGCCUGACGGAGCAAGGCCGCGUGAGUGAUGAAGGCCUUCGGAGCGUAAAGCCCUGUUAUUGGGUAAGAACAGCUGUGGAAGGAAAUAUGGCCGUAUUGACGGUACCUAAUAAGAAAGCACCGGCUAACUACGUG